rnacentral:rRNA from 1 species
ACGAACCGUCCGAACGUUAUUCGGAAUCACUGGGCUUAAAGGGUGCGUAGGCGGUGCGGUAAGUUGGGUGUGAAAUCCCUCGGCUCAACCGAGGAACUGCGCUCAAUACUGCCGUACUUGAGGGAGACAGAGGUAAGCGGAACUGAUGGUGGAGCGGUGAAAUGCGUUGAUAUCAUCAGGAACACCAGUAGCGAAGGCGGCUUACUGGGUCUCUUCUGACGCUGAGGCACGAAAGCUAGGGUAGCGAACGGG